AAUUAAAGGAGAAGCAGAAUUUAAAUCCAAAGAUUAAAGCAGCCGCGGCUCCCCAGCCGGCCCAGGCACGGCGGGAUCGGGCUCUGCAGCGCAGCUCCGGGGACAGCACCAGGAGCGCGUCCCUGGCUUCCGCUCACAGUGAUCCCGAGCAGCUCCUGAGAGCUUCGGUUUGCGGCCGAACAGCUUUCCCGAGUGGGAUUUUAAUUUUCUCUCUCAUACGUCUCAUUGAAAUGACACGUCUGGCCCGAGCAGAGCUCCAAGCGAGCGCGGAACACGACCCGCUUCUGUUCCCAGCGCUGACAAGUUAAGCGCAGACCGAGUGAAAAAGGCCUGUUUGUCCCCUCUUUGCCGGAACAUUGGUUUCCACAAAAUGGCUGGAAAAUGAGGAGCAGCUGAAGGGUGAGUCACACAUAUUGAUAUUACAAGGAUUGAUCCUCCCCUGCCUAGGAUGCAUAAUGAGCUCAAUGCUCCUGGAUCUCCACUCAGCAAGUUCCUCCUGAAAAGACACGGCAGAAAUAAAGUUCAACACCAAGCAUAAAUAUUUUAUGCUGAAUUUUACCUGUGGCACAUCGAAGUCCAGCCAAGCCAAGAAAAACAAAGCAGAACUGCAGGGAAACAUCUGCCUUUUCUUCCUCUUUCUGAUGUGUCCCAUAAGCAAAUCUGAUAAGUAACUUCUGCAAAAUGUUGUUUGAAAUGUGACAUUUUAAUGAAUGCCAUAGAAAGUGGUAGAAGUAAUUCCUAAUGCACAGAUUUCUUUUGUUCUAUUAUGCAUCGAUGAGAGAAUUUGCAUGAUCAUUAGGGGAUGACUGAAGUCUGGAAUCUUUUUAAUGAAUAUUACAUUCCCAUCUAUUAAUGGGAGGAAUGACAGUAAAUUCUUCUUUUAGCAAAUUUCUGCCAUCUGUGUAACUUUUACCUAGAGCAUUACUAGGAACCAAGUUGAAGAAGGCGCCUAAAUAGUGCAAAGGAAGGAACUUCAGCAAAGACAGACUUAACCAGGUUUCCAUGUUGCUGGUCCCUUCUCUCUGUGGAAUUUGCUUUUUCUUUUCUUUAUUGUCUUUCUUUCUCUUUUUUUCUUUUUAAUUUUGAAAAUUGACCUAUGCUCCAUAAAGUUAAUCUGACUUGUUCUCAUGCUCUUUUUGUGUGAAGUCUUGAAAUAUCAUCAGACAUACAGACUUUUAUUAUAUUUACUGAAGCAUAUUUGACAGAAAAGUUGGCAUCAAUAAGUAGAUUUAAAAAAAUUAGAUUCUAAAGUUUUCCAUUAUUUACAGUUUAAUUCAAGGAAAGUCAGAUAGACUACUUGCCUACUUUCAAGAGUAUGAUUUUUAUUCAACCAGAAUUUCAUGUAUAUGAAAGAAACUAAGUGAAUAUAUAUUUUAAAGAGAUAACAAAUCUUGAUUAAGUGGGGUCUGAGCAACAAAUACUUAAUCAUGUGCAUAUUCAGCUAGCAUGUACUAACUAGAACUGUUUAAAAAAUGUUUCCCUCUCUUUUAAUUAUUUUGAAUCCUGAAAUCAGCGUAAUUGAUUCUCAGAAUGCUUCUGAAAACAACUCCAAACACAGGAGGUGUGAUUUUCUCAAACUCUCCAUAAUCAAAUCUGAUUAAUUUCCAUACUUCGUUAUGCUUGUCUCUCCCUUUCUUGUUGAGAAGCCAUCUACAUCAUGAGAUCUUUUUGCAACAGGCCAUAAUGAGAAAUGUAAUCUUCAUGCCAGCAGGGCAACAUGCUAGUAAAAGUUGAACCAUGGAACAGAAAAUUUGUUUGGAAAAUAAAUAAAAAACGUCCACAUUUCCACAGAGAAAACUUUUGGUUGCAAAGUCAUUUAUCUGGAAAACAAAUGGAAUUGCUCUAUUUUCAAUUAUUUUGGCUGGCAGUUUAAUUAAUUCUUCAAUUUAUUUUCAAACUUCAGCCUCCAGCCAUUUGAUAUUGUUGUUAAGGAAUGACCUGCUAUUUCUUUUAAAAUCAUUUUGUUAUCUGAUAUCCUUCUCUUAUAGAGAAGAUGUCACUUUUAGCCACUCUGCAAUAUUCUUUGGCUUUCAAAAGCUAAGUAAGUUCACCUCCUUUCGCUUUCUCUCUUUAGGUCACAAAUCUUCCCUACAGUUUCCCUCAAUUCUUUUUAACUUUCAAAAUUCCUUAUGGACUGUUUUCUAUGGAAGUUUUUAAACACUUGUCUUCCCUUUUCAAGCACACUCCUAACACUCUUUUUUCUAAUGUCAUUGUGCAGGUUCAAGAAGACAGGAAUACAUCUGAGUACUUACUUAAAAUGUCUCACCGCCCCCUCACGUACCCGAAGUAACUCUCCUCCUAAGGUCUGGUAUCAAAACCGCACCAAGCCCGUCUGUUCCUUGGGCCUCUGAAAAUAUCUUUACUUUCAGAUCCUUGUCAUUGAAAGGAUCAGAUCUAAGCAGGACCACGAAGCAGGUUCACCAGGUCCCCAUCAGUAGGUACGGUGGGAGGUGGACAGUGCUCCUCAGACAACAAAAGAGCUGCACAGUGUGGGUGCGUGGCGCUCACGUCAGCCAUGCCAUGGCCGAGAGACCUGUGAAGAUCAUCUGAAAAUGUGUUGCACAUUCCCACACAACAUGUUUCUCAUCUGUUUGGCUACUUUCCAUCUUCUUGAGAUGUGAGAGAAGGAAGUGAGUUUUGUGUGACCUUGCUUUUCCUGUUUCAUGGAGCAACCAUGACUCCUACUGGAGAUUUUCUACUCACCAAACCCAGAGUGCUUUCAGCACACAUUGCAUAAAUGCACAUAUUGCCUCACCUACAUUAAGGAGAAACAUGCUUGUGUUUCAUUCAUACACAGAGAGAGAUGACUGCUCAGAUACUGUUUUCAGUGCUUCUACCACAAAACCUUCUGGGAAGAAAAGGUACUUUUCCUUCAGCUGUUCUUCAUGCUGGGGAGAUCUGCUCACCUUGACCUCCUCAUUUGGGCCAUGGUUACUCUUGGGAAACAAGUGAAGCAGCAGGUUAAGUAAAGGAAGUAGUUGCUGUUUUCUUCAUUCUUUUUCAGGUAAAGAAGGCUGAAGACAUGAUUAUGAUUUCUGACUUGAGGCAAGACAACCUCAACAACCCAUGCCAGUGGAGAGCUGGUUGACUGCAACUUCUCAGCUCUCAGAUAGAGAAAAGAUCCUGGUUGAAGUCUGUAACCACAGCCAGGCUGAAACUUGGGUUCCACGGUCUUUGGGGACUUACCAAGAUAAAAACAGAGCUCAGGAGAAGAAAUCAGGGUAAAGAUGAGAAGAUACUUAAAGCAGUAAGAAUGGUUUGACAAUUCAACAGAUCCAGUGCAUUUCCUUGUCCGUCUGAGCCAUGACCCAGUAGAGGUUCAGUACUGAACUGUACCUCCAAAAUGUUUAUUAAUCAGAGUAACUGUCCAUCUUGCCAUUUCUAGGAAUCCAAGAUAUGUCUUUUUUCAAUUUCCAUGGUAGUAUUCUGUAGAGACUAGUAAGGAUAGAAUAAUUUAAGCUGAAGUACCUGAAUCAUAUGUAGUCAUCAAAAUCAAUGAACUAAUUUUCAGAGAUGCUAGUUAUCUCUCAGUUCCCGUAGGAAAAAAUAAGCUUCUGUUUGUUUGGGAUUUGAAUAGAAAUUUUCUAUUUUUAAUUCAUUUUGCUUCAGUAAACCUUUAUUCACUGAGAAUAUGUGGGUUGCUAGCUGUUAAUUAUUAUGCUAACAGGAUUCUGCUAAAGGUGGUCUGAAAACCUGUUUUCCCACUUACUGAAUCAUCUAAUUUGAAAAAAUAUAUUAAGACUGUUUAAAAUAACUGUGACAUUGAUACUUUAGCUAAUUCCCACUUUAACAGAAGCAGGCAGUAUCCUCUCUUUGCAUGAGCAGAUGAAACUGUAUAUAGCCACUCUAAUUCUCCAAUUCUGUGAUUGGAUUUCUUUAGCAUCUUAAGCUUAACAACAAUGCUUUCCACAUGGAAAGAUUUAGUAUCCAUAAAGGUCCUCCCCAUAAUGUGGUACUACAGGAGGAGUCCCUACUUCCCUCUGAGGAGCAUGUGAUUCUUACAGACUUCUUUAGUGAAUAAAGGUAACUCAGAUUCAAAAAUCCUCUGCAGUGCAGGCAUUUAGCUCAAGACCGAGACAUCUAAAUUAAGGUGUCUAAAUGUAAGAUCUUGAUUCAGGUGCCUAAACAUAGGUGCCUAGUGCUUUUCAAGAUGCCUUUAUGAAUUUGCUGAGAUGCUCAUUUGGCCUUCAGCUCCAAUUCUAGAAGCAGAUGGGUCUCCUGCAGGUCAUGGCUGUAUCUGCCAGCUGUGUGGCUGUCCUAGGUCAUCUGAAAUGGCACAUGUUCACUAAUUGAAUAGAACCCUAACUAUUCUGGGAUUGAGGAACAUAGAGUCAGUAGAGAUUCAGCUCUCACCAGGUUGGCAGCUGGAUCUGUCUAAGCUUCCCUGAGGGUACUGGGCACCAAGUUCACAUGCAGACAUUUACUUGCAAACACCUUAUUUUGGGUAUCUUCAUCCCAAACUAAGACCAAUCCAUGCCAUGUCAGUUGCAACAAAGGAUGAAUUCAGAAAUGGAAGGCAGAACAUGCUGGAAAGUGGAAACUGCUAUGUGUAUGCCUUUGCAAGGGCUUAACAGGCGAUAAAAAUAUCAGCUGGAUCAAUCCCCCUCCAAAUGUUUCAGUGAAUGCCAUGUCUAGGACAAGGGUGACCACAAAAGGGAAACUUUCUCUUUCUGCUUUCCACUGCUGGAAGUUAAACAGUGCCUCUUCCAUGGAAGACUUCCAUCAGUGAGCAGCUGUAGGCCAAAGCUGCUCCAAAUACAAGGACAGUUUCUUCAUAAUUGUCCUAUUCUUUUAUUAACACAAUUGGUUUAAGCACCAACCAAUGAAAUUAAAAAUAAUCUGAACUUGAUUGUGCCCUUCUGUUUCAGUCAGGAGUAUCUACCAUAUGCUUGACAGAAAGGGGCAAUAUUCAAUGGUAGAGUAUUUGAAGUGCUUCCAAAAUUAGCCUUCUUGUUUCUUACACUGUUAAAAACAAUUCUCUCCUGCUACUCAAUGCAAUUUACAGGAGGUGCUUGGAAGAAAACAACCUUGAAUUUUCUUAUGGCACUAACUUCCAUCAUGAUAAAUCUCAAGGUGAGAGUAAACAGGAAGGUAUGAGCCUCUUUUACAACCGUGUUUCUGAAUGACAUUAUAGUCAAAGAUGUUCUUUAUAGUCUCUGCUGAAAAAAAUGCACUGAAUUUUAUUGGCAGCAUCUCUCUGACAGAUGUCACUACUGUCCUUGUUUAAACCAGCAUUAAAACAUUAAAUAUAACUUGGAGAAAAAACCGAAGAGUUUUAAGAGUUUAAAGUUAUAAGAGUUUCCAUUUAAUGAAAUACAAAGGUAAAAGAAAAAAAUU